UGACAUCCAGAAAAAUAAACAGAGAUGGAUUGGUGCCUUCGGGAACUCUGAGACAGGUGCUGCAUGGCUGUCGUCAGCUCGUGUUGUGAAAAGUUGGGUUAAGUCCCGCAACGAGCGCAACCCUUAUCCUUGGUUAAAAAGCAAAUCGGCCGGGAACUCAAAGGAGACUGCCUUUUAUGAAGGGGAGGAAGGUGGGGAUGACGUCAAGUCAUCAUGACCGUCGAGUAGGGCUACACA
rnacentral:rRNA from 1 species